CGCGGCUCCGCGGCUGGGGUCCGCCUGCCGCCCGACACCGAGGGGGCUGGGGACUGGUAGGGCUGCGGGGCACGGGCCCACUCUUGACUGUGGGGGCCAGGACCUGUUUGUGAAAGAUUGUGGGGUUGCGGCCCCCCCACCCCCGCUUUGUGACAACAGGGCCAGAUGCCUCCAGGUUUGGUUUGCAGGGCUGCACAGGUUGGAAGCGACUGGCUGAGCCUGGGAUGCCAUGCUGGGACAGCUCAAGCUCCGAGGUAGCUCAGGUAGAAAGCUGCAAACCGCAGAAAUUAAUCUUUGCUGACAAAAGCUUCCCGAC